rnacentral:hammerhead_ribozyme from 1 species
AUCUAACUGACGAGUCCCAAAUAGAACGAAACCCUCGUCAAACUGGAU